rnacentral:rRNA from 1 species
GAAGUAGUUUGAGCUAAAUAUAAUUGUAAUUUUAGUUGUUAAGGUUAGGUUGUGGCAAAAUCCUGCCUGAAAUUAUACUUAGGGGUGAUAGGCCUUUCAAAAACUAAGAUAUCUCGAUUCCAUUAAAAUGUAUUUAGUACAUUAAUACAUUUAUUAAGUGGUUAGGCUUAAUAAUAAUAUAAAUUUUUGUGAACCUUAUUAUUAUGUUAUAAUAAAUAAAUACAUGUAAAUAAUAUUAUUUUUCUAUUAAUUUUAUAUUAAGUAUUUGGAUAUAGUUAAGCUUAAAUGUCUAAGAAUAAUGUUGGUAUUAGUAUAUGUUAAAGGUUUUUAAAAGGAACUCGGCAAAAUGCUCCUCGACUGUUUAUCAAAAACAUAACUAUGUGUACUUAUACAUAGCGUUUUCUGCUCAAUGAAUUAUUAAAUAGCCGCAGUAUACUGACUGUGCAAAGGUGGCAUAAUCAAUUGACUUAUAAUUGAAGUCUGGAAUGAAGGAAAGUAUGGGGAGCGACUGUCUUAUUAAAACAGUGAGAAUUUAUUUAUGAAGUGAAAAUCCUUCUCUUGAUAUAAUAGACGAGAAGACCCUAGAAAUUUUUAAUAGUAUAGUGUAUUAUCCCUAUAACUUUUUCGCUGGGGCGGCGAAGUAGCAUUUAACCUACUUAUAUAAACUUGCGCCUUGUAUGGCAAUUGAUUAAUUUACUCUAGGGAUAACAGCAUAAUAUUUUAAAGUUUCUGACCUCGAUGUUGGACUAGGACAUAAUAACCUAAAAGGUUCUUUAUAUUGUCUGUUCGAGCAUAAACUCCUAGAUGAUG